CUACGGGUUGCUCCAGUAGGGAAUAUUGCACAAUGGGCGAAAGCCUGAUGCAGCAACGCCGCGUGAGUGAUGAAGGCCCUCGGGUCGUAAAACUCUUUUCAAGAGGAAGAGGAAGGACGGUACUCUUGGAAUAAGCCUCGGCUAACUACGUGCCAGCAGCCGCGGUAACACGUAGGAGGCGAGCGUUAUUCGGAUUUACUGGGCGUAAAGCGCGUGUAGGCGGCUCUAUAAGUUGGAUGUGAAAGCUCCCGGCUUAACUGGGAGAGGACGUUCAAAACUAUAGAGCUUGAGUACGAGAGAGGAAAAUGGAAUUCCGGGUGUAGUGGUGAAAUGCGUAGAUAUCCGGAGGAACACCAGUGGCGAAGGCGAUUUUCUGGCUCGAGACUGACGCUCAGACGCGAAAGCUAGGGUAGCAAACGGGAUUAGAUACCCCAGUAGUC
rnacentral:rRNA from 1 species